GACGAACGCUGGCGGCGUGCCUAAUACAUGCAAGUAGAACGCUGAAGAGAGGAGCUUGCUCUUCUUGGAUGAGUUGCGAACGGGUGAGUAACGCGUAGGUAACCUGCCUUGUAGCGGGGGAUAACUAUUGGAAACGAUAGCUAAUACCGCAUAACAAUGGAUGACACAUGUCAUUUAUUUGAAAGGGGCAAUUGCUCCACUACAAGAUGGACCUGCGUUGUAUUAGCUAGUAGGUGAGGUAACGGCUCACCUAGGCGACGAUACAUAGCCGACCUGAGAGGAUGAGCGGCCGCACUGGGACGGAGACACGGCCCAGACGCCUACGGGAGGCAGCCGGAGGGAAUCGUCGGCAAUCGGUGCAACCCUGAGCGAGCAACGCCGCGUGAGUGAAGAGGGUUGUCGGAUCGUAAAGCUCUGUUGUAAGUCAAGAACGAGUGUGAGAGUGGAAAGUUCACACUGUGACGGUAGCUUACCAGAAAGGGACGGCUAACUACGUG
rnacentral:rRNA from 1 species